GGUGCGGGAGAGUCUUCCCCGUUUCUAUCGGUCUCCUUGGGUGACAGGGAAUUCCCAGAAGGGGAAAAAAAGCUGAAAAAUGGCAGGAGAAAUGGCGAUGGAGAAGCGUCGGCGUCGCCACGCGCCACCGGCGGUCGCCUCCUCCUCUUCGACCCCCGCCGAGGCCUCCGGCCACACGCCGUCCCCUCCGCCGGACCUCCUCCCGGACAUCGCCCGUCGCCUCACCUCCCUGGAGGACUUCUUUUCCCUCCGCGCCUCCUGCCGCGACUACCGCGCCCUCCUCCCGGCGUCCCGCCCCCACCUCGCCUCCCAGGCCCCGCUCCUCCUCGUCUCCCUCUACCCCUCCUUCGCCGAGGCGCUCUUCCACCCCCGCCUCCGCCGCCUCCACCCCGCUUCCGCCUCCCCUGGGGCCACCACCUGCCCCCCUCCCGCCUCACCCUCCUCUACGCCCACGGCUUCCUCGUCACCGCCACCACCGCGGCCGCCCAGUACCCCCCCAGGCUCCUCCUCCUCCACCUCUUCACCGGCGACCAGCAGCGCCUCCCCAGGGUCCCCACCCCCUUCUCCCGGGCCAUCCUCUCUGCCGACCUCCUCGUCGUGCUCUUCCUGCCCGGCAGGUCCACCGUCCAGCACUGCCGCCCCGGGGAUGCGCUCUGGCGUGUGGCCACCGCCGAUGCGCCCCACGUGUUCGACGAUUUGAUCUUCGUUGACGCCACCCUCUACGCCCUGGUUGGCCUCCGUCUUGCCACGCUGGAGCUGUCCGAGAGUUCGCUGGAACUGUCAUUCCUUGGAGGAGAGUAUGAUGAGGAGAACAGGCCGGUGGGGGAGCGGUUCAUGCUCGGGGAGUGCGACGGCGAGGUGUUGCUCAUCAGCGAGGAGCAGGCAGAGACGGUUGUGUACCGUGUUUUCCGGUGGGUGCCUGGGGAGGGAAAGUGGGUGAUGAUAACAAGCUUGGGUGGGCGAACAUUGUUUCUUGGGUUCCACGGAUUCGCGGCUUGCAUCGGCCCAGGUUUCCCUGAGAUUCGAGGUGAUUGCAUAUAUGCUGCUGGGCGACGCUUGGGUGAAUGGUUCGAGUAUUCCUUGGUUAAUGGAACUUGUGAUGUCUGCUAUGCUGAAUAUGUGGGCGCACCACCCCUGAACAGCGAUUCACCUCUCAGACCUCCGGUUUGGGUCUUCCCCAGCUUGAUGCCAGCCUGAGAAAGGUUACCCAGAUCAUUGAAGAACAGUGAUGCUGACAUGAAGUAAGAAAAGGCCGUUGAUCCUCACCAGGUGCGUGCAAAUGGAUUGAUUGCUGCUGAAUGUGAACCAUGUGCGGGGCUACUGAAGGUCUUCCCGGAUGCUGAUAAACCUGGUCAUCUUCUCAGUUGUCGAUCUUUCCUUUGCGUUUCCUUGUUUUACCUUGCUGUUGACAUCUGGUGCUAUAGAGCAACAAACAUCAGAGUAUCAAAGAGAAGCAUGGUAACACAGCUGGACCUUCCCUGCAAAUUCCUGUGACAAUUCAUAUAUGUUGUUCAUGUUGUGUGUCUCCUGUCAAAGUUUCUUAUGCUACGAGAACAUGUAUGUUUUUCUGAUUCUUGUGGGAAUUUCGAGCCGUUUCUGUCGAAAUUUCAACGGUCCAAACAGGGCUGCAUAAUGCAAAUGCAGUAUCUACACUAACGUUGUACCUA